AUGGACGUGAUCCAACUACCAGACAUAAUUGUAGCCUCAUGUUGGUAUUUGUGGUGGCAGCGGCGCCAACUAUCGAAGAACGAAGAAUUCCAGACACCCGAGCCAACAGGCCCGGCAAUUCACGCACUUACACUGAACUUUGUCCGAGCAAAUGGAAAGCCUAACCCUGCUGCACGCGUGAACAGAUGGAGAAAACCAUUGCUAGGCCAAGUAAUUUUGAAUGUCGAUGCAUCCUUUUCUGAAGAUGAUCAUAUAGGUUCAUGUGGCGCUGUUAUCAGGGAUCACCUGGGGGCGUUCGUAGGUGCUUCUACCGCAAAACUGGAGCAUGCAGCAGAUAUUGAAUCAGCGGAAGCAGCGGCUCUAGCAGAGGGACUGAAAUUAGCUGCAAAUCUUGGCAUUAAUUCACUCCUGGUGCAGAUGGACAAUUUAACCAUGGUGGAAUCUCUAAACACGAGCUCUGGUCAUUCUAUGGUAGCUGGCCCUUUACUUGAUUUUCGUCGUAGCCUUAUGGAAGAUUUCGGGAAGGUUUUAAUCGAGCAUUGUAAUAGGGAAUCUAAUAUGGUAGCGCAUGUGCUAGCCCAACAGGGUCGUGUUGAUCCUCCUAAUCUUUGGUUGGAAACACCCCUUAGUUUUAUUGCUAGACUCAGGGGCGGAGCCAGAAAAUUUGGCCAAUGGGUUCACUCAAUACCUCAUUGUAAGGAUUUUGUAUGGGUUAAUUAA
rnacentral:rRNA from 1 species